AACGAGCGUCAACCCUUAUCAUUAGUUGCUACGCAAGGGCACUCUAAUGGGACUGACCGGUGACAAACCGGAGGAAGGUGGGGAUGACGUCAAGUCCUCACUUGGCCCUUAUGGGUAGGGCUUCACACGUCAUACAAUGGUCGGUACAGAGGGUUGCCAAGCCGCGAGGCGGAGCCAAUCCCACAAAGCCGAUCGUAGUCCGGAUUGUUCUCUGCAACUCGAGAGCAUGAAGUCGGAAUCGCUAGUAAUCGCGGGUCAGCAUACUGCGGUGAAUACCGGUUCCCGGGUCUU
rnacentral:rRNA from 1 species